rnacentral:misc_RNA from 1 species
AAGGAGUCUAACAUGCUUGCGAGUGUUUGGGUGGCAAACCCAUACGCGUAAUGAAAGUGAAUGGAGGUGGGAUCCUGCAAGGGAGCACCAUCGACCGAUCCGGAUUUUUAAUGAAGGGUUUGAGUAAGAGCACGUAUGUUGGGACCCGAAAGAUGGUGAACUAUGCCUGAAUAGGGUGAAGCCAGAGGAAACUCUGGUGGAGGCUCGUAGCGGUUCUGACGUGCAAAUCGAUCGUCAAAUUUGGGUAUAGGGGCGAAAGACUAAUCGAACCAUCUAGUAGCUGGUUCCUGC